rnacentral:rRNA from 1 species
AACGAACGCUGGCGGCAGGCCUAACACAUGCAAGUCGAGCGGACCCUUCGGGGUUAGCGGCGGACGGGUGAGUAACGCGUGGGAAUAUGCCCUUCUCUACGGAAUAGUCCUGGGAAACUGGGGGUAAUACCGUAUACGCCCUUUGGGGGAAAGAUUUAUCGGGGAAGGAUUAGCCCGCGUUGGAUUAGGUAGUUGGUGGGGUAAUGGCCUACCAAGCCGACGAUCCAUAGCUGGUUUGAGAGGAUGAUCAGCCACACUGGGACUGAGACACGGCCCAGACUCCUACGGGAGGCAGCAGUGGGGAAUCUUAGACAAUGGGGGCAACCCUGAUCUAGCCAUGCCGCGUGAGUGAUGAAGGCCUUAGGGUUGUAAAGCUCCUUCAGCUGGGAAGAUAAUGACGGUACCAGCAGAAGAAGCCCCGGCUAACUCCGUG